GAUGAACGCUGGCGGCGUGCCUAAUACAUGCAAGUCGAGCGAACAGACGAGGAGCUUGCUCCUCUGACGUUAGCGGCGGACGGGUGAGUAACACGUGGAUAACCUACCUAUAAGACUGGGAUAACUUCGGGAAACCGGAGCUAAUACCGGAUAAUAUAUUGAACCGCAUGGUUCAAUAGUGAAAGACGGUUUUGCUGUCACUUAUAGAUGGAUCCGCGCCGCAUUAGCUAGUUGGUAAGGUAACGGCUUACCAAGGCAACGAUGCGUAGCCGACCUGAGGGGGUGAUCGGCCACACUGGAACUGAGACACGGUCCAGACUCCUACGGGAGGCAGCAGUAGGGAAUCUUCCGCAAUGGGCGAAAGCUUGACGGAGCAACGCCGCGUGAGUGAAGAAGGUCUUCGGAUCGUAAAACUCUGUUAUUAGGGAAGAACAAAUGUGUAAGUAACUAUGCACGUCUUGACGGUACCUAAUCAGAAAGCCACGGCUAACUACGUG
rnacentral:rRNA from 1 species